CAAAAUGACAGUUAUGAAGUAGCAACAAUGUUAUGGUGGGGGGUCACCACAACAUGGGAACUGUAUGAAAGGGUGGUGACAUUAGGGAGGUGGAGAACCGCGGCUCAAAGAUGUGCGCACCUCACUGUUGUUUGCCUGACAACGGAGCCAUGGAGGUGAGUUCAGUUUAAGAUCUGAUGGGUGGCUAAGGACUAUAGUCUUGGGGUUCCAUCUGUCUGACCAGCACGCCUGGUCUCUCGCUUGACACUGAAUUUUGUUCCCCAUUUUUCUCCCAUUCUCUUCAGGACCUUCUAAUUCAUCCUGAUUUGAGAGCAAUUGGUGGUGGGAGCCAGAUAAACCAACUCGUUCUUCUGGUCUCCGGGUCAUGAAGACUGAAUUCAGAGUGGUCUAGUCUGCUGGACUGAUAAUAGUUCCAUCUGCCUUUGAUUUCCAUCAUUCCUCUUACAUUUGGACAGGGACAGACCAAUUGUUGCACUGGAGAAAGCUGCUCACAGCUUUCAAACCCUAGUCACCAAAGUAGGAUGGGGGCUUUGUGGACUAGGUUAUGCCAACUGACGUUGGUGUCCCCCGAGACUAUGGUCCUGAUCCCUCAAACUCAUUCCCCAAGGUGCCUCAUGAUGUGCAGGAGGUGCUCUUAACUUUGCCCUCUGGUGUUCCACCCACCACAUCCAUGGAUAUAGUUACAGCAAAGUUGUGAAAUGUCCAUGUACAACUAUCCUGCCUCCCUCUCUCUCUCCCUCCAAGACACACACAUUCGCUUCGUCCACAGGUGUUUCUUCUUGGGCAGUGCUGCCCUUUUGAUCUUGUAAGGUUGAUUGUUCUGCGAAGUGUAUGCCUCCCUGGUGUGUGUUGACCCUAACAGGUCUGUCUAUGGUUUUGUUCAAAGUUGGCCCAUGAGUUGAGUUCAGGUCCAGGCUUGAAAGGAGUCUAGGGGCUCUGUUGUUGGGCUUUCACCAGUUCCUAUCAGACCAGUAAGACCAGGCGUGUGUUAUUUGGAAGGAUGUUCCAGUUUCCCCCACUCUACAGGACGUUCUAGGGUGAUCCCCCGUCAGUUGUCAGCCACGGGAACUAAGCACUAUCUAAGUCUUAGGGUCUCAGAUUCAUGUGAUCCAUGUGAUCUGAGCUAAUCAUUUCCUUAUGUUAAUAUGGUAACUCUAUCUGUACCUAUCUUUUGUUUACUGUGGUAAAUACAUGUAGAGUAAGAAAAUUGACAUUUGUAUAAUUUCCACCUAGUCUUUUCAGCUUAGUGAUGUAUUGUGUUCAGCCAGCACCCUGAUUCGUUCCCCGAUAGACAUGCUCACCUAAGCACCCAGACUCCCUUCCUACCUCUGGUAACAUGACAAAUUCAACCUCUCUUGCAUCCUCUAGGUAAUUCAUAUUACGUGGGAUCCUAGUCUUUGUCAUUUUAUGAGUGACAGUGACCACUAGAGUAUAGUGAUCUGUUUGUGUUCUUGCUAUCUCAUGUGUACACUUAAAGUGAAAUUCCUGUUCAUUUAGUAAUUUUACAUUUAACUUGUUGAGGAACUGUCUGUUUGCCAGUAGACUUAUUUUACAUUCUCACCAGCAAUGAAUAAUGGACCCAGUUUCUCCACAUCUUUGCCAACAUCUCUUGUUUCUUCACCAUUAGCCAUCCUAGUGAGUGAGAAUGGAGUGGAACCUCAUGGAGUCAGGUGAGCAUUGGGCUGCUAGUUAUAAGGUCAGUAGUUCAAACCCACCAGCAGCACUGAGGGAGACUAAAGCAGCUGUCUGUGUCUGUGAAGAUUUAAAGCUUCAGAAACCCUAUAUACGAGGGUUCCUAUGAAUUGGAAUCCUAUCAAUGGCAGUUUUGUUUGUUUAUCUCCUUUGGAGUAGUCUAUUCAGGUUCUCUGCCAAUUUUAGAAUUUGGUUGCCUCUCUCUCUGUUGCAGAAAUUAAACUUUUCCCCCAGCAUAUUGACCAAGUCUUUACAUAGCUUUUCAGUCUUAAGAAUCUGACAAAAAAAAAAAAUCUGCUGACAAAAAAAGCCCCUUUUUUGGAUGUAGACAUUUAUUUACAGCUAUGAAUUUCCCUCUGGGCACUGCCUUUGUGGCAUGCCGUACGUUUUGGUAUGCUGUGCUUUUGAUCUCUAGUUCCAUUUUUCUUUUGAAAUUUACUGAGACUUGUUUUAUGGCCUAAAUUUUGAGACUCAAAAAAUUUGUGGAGCAAUAUCAUGAGGCUAGGGUGUGGGGAAGGGAGACAAUGGACAGAGGGAGACAAAGGCGUGAAAGAACAAUAAUAUAUCAUUGAUCAAGGUUUCACAAGGGGGGAAGGGUAGGGAGAAAGAGGAGCUGAUAUCAAGGACUCAAGUAGAAAGAAAUGGUUUUGGAACUGUUGAGGGCAACAUAUGCACACACGUGCUUACCACUGAAUGAUGAAUUGCUAUACAUUUGUAAGAGCCCCCCCCCCCAAAAAAAAAAAGUGUGGUGAGGUCCAUUAUCUUAAUUCCAUUCCCAUAGACGUUCUGAAGCCCUUCCUUCUGCAGAAUCGCCCCUAGGUGGUGGGUGUUCUCUCAGUGGGGGCUUCGCUCUAGAUGCUGCCGACACUGCUUGGAGUAGUUGGGGGGCCGGGUGCAGCACCGUAUGUCACCAUUUUGCUCUAACACCUCUUGUAGCUUUUAUUGAUGAAGGGCAGAAAAAUAUUCACUGAACCGAUAAUUACCAACCUUCAUCUUUUAACUAGAAUUAUUUAUUUAAUCACAAGCAUAAAGUGCCACUUACUUAUUCUUAGCUAUUGUUAUUACUUACAUGUUUCAACUCGUUCUUGGACCUGACUCUGUGGUGGUACCUCAGGUUAAAGGCUCCUAAUUGCAGAGUCGGCAGUUGAAAGCCACUGGCUGCUCCACAGGAGAAAGAUUUACAGCCUUGGCAACUGCGAAGGGCAGUCCUGUUCUGCCCGACAGGGUGACUGGACGGCAGAGGGUGAGUUUCAUCUCUACUUACUGAUUGUAUUGGAGUGCUUAAAUAGGCCUUCACUUUUCCCUAAAACCAAUUUAGUUUAAAGCAUGUUUAACAAAGUUAUUUUGUUCAUUACUGUUGUGUCUGAAUGGCUUGGGGGUGAAAAACUUGGGAGUCUAGAAUCACAAGUUUAAUGGCAGUUGACUGGAUCUAAAAUUCUAGGUUAGUGAUUCAUUGUUAUCCUGCAUCUAAUGCUGCUGGGAUGUACAAGGCUAGUUUCUCUGUAUACGAGGGGGCUUUAAAAAGUUUACAGAAAAGGGAAUGAGAAGACAAUAGAAUUUCCCCUCAUACUUUAUUCCGACUCUGCUUAUUCUUUAAAAAAUCAUUUUUUAAAGAUGCUCAGAAUCGUGUGGAAGGCUGCCUGAGGAACAUUCCUAAUGCAGUGCCAUGAGACUGCUCAGUACCCCUGGGGACCUGGCUCCCACCCACCACCGUGUGGCAUCACUCGAAGGUGCUUCUACAGAGACUCCAACAACCCUCCUCCAGGACGACACCAGAAUGGCCCCAGGGGCUUCCAAGACCGUCACUCUUUAUGGGAAAAUCAUCUGCAAAUCAAGCAGUCAUUUCACGAUGCAGUUACUGCAGUGAGGGAUGAGAACGGCGGACACAGAGCAUCCUGCUUACCUCAACCCGGGCUCCUAUGAUCACCUGCCACACUUCAUCUUCCUCCUGUGAGUUCAUUUUCCCCAGUAAAUUGGUGUAUUGUCGGUACAGUGAAAUUAAGGUAUAAACAGCCUGUAAAUGUAGAAAAAAAAACAGGCCUGAGUUAAAAUAGGUGAGGCUCGGACCUUCGAGUUCCCUUACGCUCACUGAAACUGCACCGCUCCCUGUGGGGGGAGGUCAGAUGCGCAGGCAUUCCCUCUCCUGAGGGCAAUCAGUUGCCAGACUGCUGUC